rnacentral:rRNA from 1 species
GUCAAUGGACGAGAGUCUGAACCAGCCAAGUAGCGUGCAGGAUGACGGCCCUAUGGGUUGUAAACUGCUUUUAUAAGGGAAUAAAGUGAGAGUCGUGACUCUUUUUGCAUGUACCUUAUGAAUAAGGACCGGCUAAUUCCGUGCCAGCAGCCGCGGUAAUACGGAAGGUCCGGGCGUUAUCCGGAUUUAUUGGGUUUAAAGGGAGCGUAGGCCGGAGAUUAAGCGUGUUGUGAAAUGUAGAUGCUCAACAUCUGCACUGCAGCGCGAACUGGUUUCCUUGAGUACGCACAAAGUGGGCGGAAUUCGUGGUGUAGCGGUGAAAUGCUUAGAUAUCACGAAGAACUCCGAUUGCGAAGGCAGCUCACUGGAGCGCAACUGACGCUGAAGCUCGAAAGUGCGGGUAUCGAACAGGAUUAGAUACCCUGGUAGUCCGCACGGUAAACGAUGGAUGCCCGCUGUUGGUCUGAAUAGGUCAGCGGCCAAGCGAAAGCAUUAAGCAUCCCACCUGGGGAGUACGCCGGCAACGGUGCAACUCAAAUGAAUUGACGGA